rnacentral:rRNA from 1 species
GUGAGGAAUAUUGCGCAAUGGAGGCAACUCUGACGCAGCCAUGCCGCGUGCAGGAAGAAGGCGCUACGCGUUGUAAACUGCUUUUAACCGGGAAGAAACCCCAGGACGUGUCCUGGGUUGACGGUACCGGAGGAAUAAGCACCGGCUAACUUCGUGCCAGCAGCCGCGGUAAUACGAAGGGUGCAAGCGUUAUCCGGAUUCAUUGGGUUUAAAGGGUGCGUAGGCGGAGCGUUAAGUCAGUGGUGAAAUCCUGCAGCUUAACUGUAGACUUGCCAUUGAUACUGGCGCUCUUGAGUGCGCUUGAAGUGGGCGGAAUUUGCCGUGUAGCGGUGAAAUGCUUAGAUAUGGCACAGAACACCAAUUGCGAAGGCAGCUCACUAAGGCGAUACUGACGCUGAGGCACGAAAGCGUGGGGAUCGAACAGGAUUAGAAACCCGGGUAGUCC